rnacentral:tRNA from 1 species
GAGGGUACAGCUCAGUGGUAGAGUGUGUGCUUAGCAUGCACAAGGUCCUGGGUUCAAUCCCCAGUACCUCA